AUUCAUUCAAUUAAAUCUGAAUUUUUUUUAAAUAACCUUCUUAUGUGACGUGACUAAUCGGAGAUAUGUUGAAUAAAACGUCUGUAGUAAUUGCAAAAUGACACGAAUCUUCUAGCGCUUUCUGCGUCCGUUGGAACUGGAUAUUUUUCUAUUACAUGGUAUGUCUUACUGUCUGGCAAAAUACACUUGUGUCCAAGGAAGGUCACUUAGUUUCAGAAAAAUGUGCACUUUUUUGUGUUCAGUUUAAGGUUGUGUUUCCUACAUAAAUUAGAAAUGUUAAUCAUAUGGUUUUCUGAGCAACCGACGGCAGUUAGGUCAGCCAUAUACUAAAAUUCCCUGUUAAUUUUGGAGUAAUCAAUUACAAAAAGCCAUCGAAUUUCAGAGUUCCAUUGGAGUCCAUAUAAGCAUAGUGAAUCUGUUAUUCGCAAGGUGACUUUAACCUACCUGAUAUUUCUUGGUCUCCUCCUACUGACUCAUUUGUCGCUAUGCCGUUAUCCGCCCAUGAUUUUGUGGAUGGCCUUUUAGAAUUAUCGUUACAGCAAGUAAGCUUUAUAAAAAAUUCCUUAAGAAGACAAUUAGAUCUUGUGUUUGUUUCA